rnacentral:rRNA from 1 species
AGUGAACGCUGGCGGUAGGCCUAACACAUGCAAGUCGAACGGCAGCACAGUAAGAGCUUGCUCUUACGGGUGGCGAGUGGCGGACGGGUGAGGAAUACAUCGGAAUCUACUUUUUCGUGGGGGAUAACGUAGGGAAACUUACGCUAAUACCGCAUACGACCUACGGGUGAAAGCAGGGGAUCUUCGGACCUUGCGCGAUUGAAUGAGCCGAUGUCGGAUUAGCUAGUUGGCGGGGUAAAGGCCCACCAAGGCGACGAUCCGUAGCUGGUCUGAGAGGAUGAUCAGCCACACUGGAACUGAGACACGGUCCAGACUCCUACGGGAGGCAGCAGUGGGGAAUAGUGGACAAUGGGCGCAAGCCUGAUCCAGCCAGACCGCGUGGGUGAAGAAGGCCUUCGGGUUGUAAAGCCCUUUUGUUGGGAAAGAAAAGCAGCAGGUUAAUACCCAGCUGUUCUGACGGUACCCAAAGAAUAAGCACCGGCUAACUUCGUG